rnacentral:rRNA from 1 species
UACGUAGGGUGCGAGCGUUUGUCCGGAAUUACUGGGCGUAAAGAGCUCGUAGGUGGUUUGUCGCGUCGUUUGUGUAAGUCCACGGCUUAACUGUAGGAUGGCAGGCGAUACGGGCAUAACUUGAGUGCUGUAGGGGAGACUGGAAUUCCUGGUGUAGCGGUGAAAUGCGCAGAUAUCAGGAGGAACACCGAUGGCGAAGGCAGGUCUCUGGGCAGUAACUGACGCUGAGGAGCGAAAGCAUGGGUAGCGAACAGG